rnacentral:lncRNA from 1 species
CACCUCUAGUAAUGUCAAAAUAGUCAGAAAUGUGAUCUUUAUAUUUUAAAGAGGAUUUUGUAUUUAAAUAUUGUUGUUUUAUUACCCUGUAAAAAGACUUUCCUACUCCCAUUUUGCAUAAUUUAUAUAGAAGGGCUGUCCUCCAUACAGAGUCAAAUGCCUUUCUUAAGUCAAUGAAGCAUGCAUAUAUUUUUUUGUUAUUUUUGUGUAUAUAUUUAUUAAUUAAAGAUUUUAAUAUGAAAAUACUGUCAGCAGUUCUGUGGUUUUCUCUGAAGCCAAACUGACAGUUAUUCAGCUGUUUAUCCACAACUGUGAU